rnacentral:rRNA from 1 species
UACAGAGGUCUCAAGCGUUAUUUCGGAUUCACUGGGUCGUAAAGGGUGCGCAGGCGGCCGUGUGUGUCAGGUGUGAAAGCCCGGAGCUUAACUCCGGAAUUGCGCCUGAAACUACAUGGCUAGAGCAUUGGAGAGGGUAGCGGAAUUCACGGUGUAGCAGUGAAAUGCGUAGAUAUCGUGAGGAACACCAGAGGCGAAGGCGGCUACCUGGACAAUUGCUGACGCUCAGGCACGAAAGCGUGGGGAGCAAAAGGG